rnacentral:rRNA from 1 species
CCUACGGGUGGCUGCAGUGGGGAAUAUUGCACAAUGGGGGGAACCCUGAUGCAGCGACGCCGCGUGGGUGAGGAAGUACUUCGGUAUGUAAAGCCCUAUCAGCAGGGAAGAAAAUGACGGUACCUGACUAAGAAGCCCCGGCUAACUACGUGCCAGCAGCCGCGGUAAUACGUAGGGGGCAAGCGUUAUCCGGAUUUGAUGGGUGUAAAGGGUGCGUAGAUGGGGUGGCACGUAUGGUGUGAAAGGGCGGGGCUCAACCCCGGGAGUGCAUUGGAAACUGGCAUGCGGGAGUGUCGGAGGGGCAAGCGGAAUUCCUAGUGUAGCGGUGAAAUGCGUAGAUAUUAGGAGGAACACCGGUGGCGAAGGCGGCUUGCUGGACGGUAACUGACGUUGAGGCUCGAAAGCGUGGGGAGCAAACAGGAUUAGAUACCCUGGUAGUC